CAUUUGUGCAAGAAAUUUUUCAACGGUUAAAAAUUUCAAAUUCAGCCGACAGUGGUUUGAAAAAAGCUAAAUUUGUUGUCCCCCUUGCGGGACGCUGUAGCAUGUUUACGACAGCAUGAGGACUGAGGAAAAAAACAAAAAGGUAAAAUAACCGUCAGAAGAAACCCAGAGGCUAGAACAAUUUUCGUACGCGUAGUGGGCAGACGUCGUCUAUCAGCUCAGGAAGUAAAGCGAAUUAAAGUUAAAAUCUCGUAAAAUUUUAGCAACUUUGACAACAAUUGUCUGAUAUCGAAAAAUGAGCCGCAAAAGGCAUCUUGACAAUGGACCAGGCCCGAUUCCUCAACGGUGGCUACACUGUCCUCGAAAAGCCUUUUUUACAGUUGGAGGAAAAUUUUUAGCAUUCAAAACUCCACUUGAUGCAAGAUACGAAAAUCAAGUCGACGAUGAAUAUACUUUUCACCCUGAAAUGGUAUUUUCAUCAGUCAAGAAUAUGAAGAUGAAAAUUGGGCUCUGGAUCGAUCUUACUAAUACCAGCCGGUUCUACGACAAGAAUGUAGUAGAACAAAAUUCAUGUAAAUAUGUGAAACUCAAAUGCAAAGGACAUGGUGAAACUCCCAACCCUGAAACUGUGAACCUCUUCAUCAAGCAAUGCACGGAAUUCAUUUCUCAAAAUCCUUUAGAAAUUAUUGGAGUCCACUGUACCCACGGCUUCAACAGAACUGGCUUUCUCAUUGUUUCAUACUUGGUACAGGCCAUGGACUGGUCAGUAGAAGCUGCGGUCAAUGAAUUUUCUAAAGCAAGACCCCCUGGAAUCUACAAGGAGGACUAUAUAUGACAACUAUUCACUCUCUAUGGUGACAUAGAUGACAACCCACCUGCUCUUUUCUUGCCAAUGUGGCAUCGUGAGGCUGAUGAUGAUACCCACAUCAAAGAAGAAACAGAAGCUGUUGAUGACAACGAAGAUGAUGACCAAGCCGGCGGCAGUACGGGAGCCACCUGGCUAAACUGACUAAACUGGACUGGCUAACUGACUGGCUAACUGACUGGCUAAACUGGACCUCCUGGCUAAACUGAAUCGGAGAAUGUGAAACCAAUUGCAAUUUACCUGUAUUACAGUUUUAAUUAUAUUAU